AACGAAGGCAUCAGGCGCUGGAUUUCCAGCGCCAGCAGCGUCCGCCCUCCGCCGGCCGCCGUGUGCAGCGGCGUGUCGGCGAAGUGGUGGUUGUCAAUGGCGUGAAGGAGAUUCGGAUUGUGGCGUAUUGUGGAAUACAGGUAGAGUAGCAAUUUGAGAGUGAAGGCGAGGAGGGAAGCUGCAACAUUCAAUACCUUAACAUACCAUUCUAAAAAUGGGCAUAUAAUCGGCUUUACGACGACGCCGUACACCUUCGCCGCGACAUGGAACACGAUGUGUGGACUCUUCAAGAACCCUAAAACGGCGUAAGCCAACAACGAUAUUAUGUCAAAUAACAUUUCGAAGAAGAAUAAUCUACGCAAAAAUAAAGAGUACGGUGAGUGAUCGACGUACACUCCGUAGCUGCGGGAAAUGCAUCGAACAACGAACUUACGAUCUUGAAUGAAGUCUAAAUAUCACGGAAAAAAAAAAAAUGAGGUACUUUUAGAGGUUUUUUGUUAUAAUUGUAAUAUCAGUCGAUAAAA